AGAGUUUGAUCAUGGCUCAGAACGAACGCUGGCGGCAUGCCUAACACAUGCAAGUCGAACGAGACCUUCGGGUCUAGUGGCGCACGGGUGCGUAACGCGUGGGAAUCUGCCCUUGGGUUCGGAAUAACAGUUAGAAAUGACUGCUAAUACCGGAUGAUGUCUUCGGACCAAAGAUUUAUCGCCCAGGGAUGAGCCCGCGUAGGAUUAGCUAGUUGGUGGGGUAAAGGCCUACCAAGGCGACGAUCCUUAGCUGGUCUGAGAGGAUGAUCAGCCACACUGGGACUGAGACACGGCCCAGACUCCUACGGGAGGCAGCAGUGGGGAAUAUUGGACAAUGGGCGAAAGCCUGAUCCAGCAAUGCCGCGUGAGUGAUGAAGGCCUUAGGGUUGUAAAGCUCUUUACCCGGGAUGAUAAUGACAGUACCGGGAGAAUAAGCCCCGGCUAACUCCGUG
rnacentral:rRNA from 1 species